CAGAAGAACAUCACCCAGCUCAGCUGCUGCUCAGAGCAUCCUUGGAGGUGACAUGCUAUUCCCUUGUGACUGCAACAAUCAGGUGAAACUUUCUUCUGAUGCUGUUCUUUUUAAAGCAUGAACACCGUGUGCCCCUGGAGGCUGGCUAGGCAUGGCGAACUCCCACAGGCGGUGGUGGGAGCAUGAUGGAGGCAACUGGGGAGCUGCCACAGGCAGCUGCAGCGCUGUCCGCACCAGGGGGGAGGGGUGGGUAGUGAGCACUGACCAGUGGUCGGUGACCAUCCACAGACACUGCCGGCAGUGUCAUGGUGGGGUGCACGUACACCCGCACCCACUACGUGUCACCAAUGCCACAGAGUCAGAGAUGUUGCAAAGAAACGGGUUUUCUGUUAGUUCUUCAACUCUCCCAGGUUUUUCUUUAAGUAAAAAAGAAAACCAUAAUAACUAAGAAAUUUGAAAAGAACUGAUUCAUCUUCAAUAUGGCUGGCUCAGUAGAUUGUUGCAUUUCCCAACUCCAAGCUUCUUGGUACUGUUACUUAAAAUUCAGUGCAGAUCAUGCAACACUAAUAUUUGCACUACAGUAGUUUCCAGAAGGCCUCCUCAUGUUCAUGGCCCUAACAUACAGGCACACAAUAGGAGAAGGUCCCAAACUAAAUAGACAAGACGUAUGAUGGAUAAAGAGAACUUAAUUUCCAUUUUUACAGAUAGAGAACAGAAACUCAGAGAAAUUCAGGGACUCGCAGUGCCUAUGGCAGAACCAGUUCUUAAACCCAGGACUUUCAAAUCCCAGUCCAAUGGUAAAACAUAAUAGUAAACUUUCUUUUUCCUUUGAAGACUAUAAAGAGAAGAGUGGUGGUGAGAGAACAGUUGUUUUUCAGACUCGUGGAAGUUUGAGAUUUCAGACAUUUUCCCAUUUCCUUGGGCCAAAUACUUUCCACUGUUUUUCAUGAAAAAAUUGAAUGCAUGAUAUCCUCCUUGUAGCCCAAGGAAUGCAAUUCUUUUUACAAAAUGGAAUUGCUUCAGCAGGCACAGCUGGGAAAGACCCACCCCAGACCCAACCCCUGGCUGCUUCUUGUCUAUCACACCAAACAUAAACUACUUGCUUUCACUUCCAAAGCCCAUUUAUGCCUAUCCGCACCCUUCUUAUGAUCUCUCACUCAGGACUGAGCCUUUGCCCACCUUCUCCGGCUCCCCCUUGUUGUCUUCAUGGGGUUUUUUUUAUGCUGUCCCUUGUUUGCCCCUUAUAAACAUCUGCCAAGCUAUCUCCUUAGUCUCCCUCAAAUCCCACCUUAAAACUCUCCUGUGACAGGUUCAUGUCCGGAAAGCUGCUGCUGAGAGGUGCAUCUGUUUUUUUUUUACCUGGUAGCAGGGCACUUUCCUCCUCUUGCCUACCACAACUUGCUGUUCCUAUAAGCUGAGUAUUUCAUUAUGGGGAGGUGGUACCUGUGGU